rnacentral:tRNA from 1 species
UUGAUGAAAGCUUUAAGCGUUUUACUGUUGAUAAAAGAAAGGUUUACCCCUCAUCAAU